rnacentral:rRNA from 1 species
GAUGAACGCUGGCGGCGUGCCUAAUACAUGCAAGUCGAGCGAACAGACGAGGAGCUUGCUCCUCUGACGUUAGCGGCGGACGGGUGAGUAACACGUGGAUAACCUACCUAUAAGACUGGGAUAACUUCGGGAAACCGGAGCUAAUACCGGAGAAUAUAUUGAACCGCAUGGUUCAAUAGUGAAAGACGGUUUUGCUGUCACUUAUAGAUGGAUCCGCGCCGCAUUAGCUAGUUGGUAAGGUAACGGCUUACCAAGGCAACGAUGCGUAGCCGACCUGAGAGGGUGAUCGGCCACACUGGAACUGAGACACGGUCCAGACUCCUACGGGAGGCAGCAGUAGGGAAUCUUCCGCAAUGGGCGAAAGCUUGACGGAGCAACGCCGCGUGAGUGAUGAAGGUCUUCGGAUCGUAAAACUCUGUUAUUAGGGAAGAACAAAUGUGUAAGUAACUAUGCACGUCUUGACGGUACCUAAUCAGAAAGCCACGGCUAACUACGUG